UUGUCGGGAGAACAUUUCUGCCGGGAGGUUAUCGGGAGAGGCGCUGAAUACCGGGAGUCUCCCGGUAAAAACGGGAGGGUUGGCAAGUAUGCUGAUCAAGAGUGAACAUUUGCAACGGAACUUGUGACGUGUUGCCCUCCAAAAAGCGGGAGAGUGAAGUGGAAGCAUCACUCAAGGCAGGCAGGUAAAGAAAGCACUGCAUUGCAAUGUUGGUUCCUGUAAAAUGUGGUCAAACCCAGAGAUACGUGGCUGAAACUGAAGGGGGCUUUGACCAUUUUGGCACGUUUAUUAAGAAGGUCAUAGAUAAGCUGGGUCUUCCACUUGAGACUCAGCUUUCAUUGACCAAUGGGACGGGAACAGAAGUGGAUGCUGAUGUGUUUGAGGACCUGUUAAAAAUGGCAAACCUUACCAUAAAUGUGUCUGCAGAAAGGUUUGUUUCCACAAGUUAGCUAACAUUACUAAGGUAAGGCUUGAUAGUAAGAAGGUCUCCACAGUAUCAAUUAAACUGUUUGACAAAACUGCACUGGUUGACUUUAAAACUAUUCAUGGUUUCUU